rnacentral:sRNA from 1 species
AGAAAUGUGCUGUGUAAAUGUUUCUCUUUCUUUGUUGUUGUUGCCAUUUUUUAUUAUUUUUUGUUCGUAACGAAGUCUUGCACUCUGCGUAAAUUGAGUCUUGAUGUGCUAAAGGGCAUAUGCGGCUCUGGAAAUUUCGAAGUUAGAGAAAUGUAGUUUUCAAAUCUCUGUUGGUCACAGAAAUUUGUUACAUAUUUCGGAGCUGUUGGAUAAUCUGAAACCAUACCAUUUUCUUUCCAUUCUAAAACAUUUCUGUCCUUUGAUGUCCGAGCUUGGAACACUUUUGCAAAAGUGCAAUUAUUCAUUUUUAAUAAUGCUAUAAUUAACCUUUCAUAUUUCUCUUUUUUUAGGCUCACCUUGAAAUCUUCUGUAGAUAGUGUUUUCUUUGCCUACGACUGUACUGCAGCAAAUAGAUGUGUGCAAACGAAUAUUAAAGAUUUGUUUUGGUCGUUAUUUUUUUGUUAAAAUUUAAAUUAAAAGUUUCACAAUUU